rnacentral:tRNA from 1 species
UCCUCGAUAGUCUAGUGGUGAGGAUAUCGGCUUGUCAUCCACACGAUUCGCCGGGGACCGGGGUUCAAUUCCCCGUCGAGGAG